UACGUAGGGUGCAAGCGUUUGUCCGGAAUUAUUGGGCGUAAAGAGCUCGUAGGCGGUUUGUUGCGUCGGCUGUGAAAUCCCGAGGCUCAACCUCGGGUCUGCAGUCGAUACGAGCAAACUAGAGUGUUGCAGGGGAGACUGGAAUUCCUGGUGUAGCGGUGAAAUGCGCAGAUAUCGGGAGGAACACCGGUGGCGAAGGCGGUUCUCUGGGCCUUACCUGACGCUGAGGAGCGAAAGCGUGGGGAGCGAACAGG
rnacentral:rRNA from 1 species